UUUAAAGAGAGUUUGAUCCUGGCUCAGGACGAACGCUGGCGGCGUGCCUAAUACAUGCAAGUCGAACGAACGGAGGAAGAGCUUGCUCUUCCAAAGUUAGUGGCGGACGGGUGAGUAACACGUGGGCAACCUGCCUGUAAGUUGGGGAUAACUCCGGGAAAC
rnacentral:rRNA from 4 species